ensembl:lncRNA
GUAAACACAGCCAUUUUACUGUUCGUUGUGGGUAUUUUAAGGUAGUCAUUUAAUUCUCCAGAGGAGUCCUUCAACACAGCUAUUUCUGCAGGUCUGCUGUUAGGCAGAUGCAUGAAAUUAAGUAUUUUUGGUGCCUUCUUGGUAUGCAUAGACUAAUAAAAUGCAAUACAUUCACAUACAUUCAUUUUUUCCAAGCGUAUCUCUUUCAGUGGUCCUCAGUGGGUACAUAUGUUUGAUGCUGAAGAUUUAUCUGAGGCUGCUCUGCUCUACUUGACUGCAGCCGGUUCAUAACACUUAUCACCUGAAGGCAUCUCCUGCCUACAGAGUGAGGAACGAGCUUCAGAGCACAGGAUUAGAUGUAGAGAGGGAUUUUAAUCCCAUGUAGCCUGUGCAGGAGAUGUGUGUUUUUUCCUGGAAGCCUGUUCAGACAACAGAGGAAUUACAGUAACUGAAAGAGUUUUCAGAAGACGUGUGAUAUUGCCAAUGUGGACAUUUAUUCUGAGUGCAUACCCCUCGUUUCAAAGGCACUUCAAGCAUCGGCUUCCUCAGAUCCUUCUUCAUCAGCUGCUGCCUUCAAAGGAAGGGUAUGAUUCAAGAAAACGUGGUGAUUACUUUUCUUUGAUCUUUGCCAGUAGAACUUCUUUUCUUUUUGUAUUUCUUCUGUAGUCUUCCACGUAGUUUGCCACACUCACUUACAGAUAACUGGAAACUAAUCCAG